CGGGUCGGGUCGGGUAUUGACGAAGUGGAACCACAUCCUUAUACCAGUCACAUCCUUGGGUUCUAGCUAUUCUUCCUCUCGGAGACGCGUUAGGAAUUCUUGCUGAUACAACAAAACGUUGCGAGAUUGAUCUACGUAAAGAAUCGACAGCAAAGCUAAUUGCCCUGUCACCUUAUCCUGUGAUUACGUUUGGUCCGUUUGCUUCCGCAACCAAUGUUUUGACAUCGUUGUCACACGCAAUUGAGACUGAAAAAAGAUGCACUGUGGAUAGGCACUUAGGUGGCAUCGAUGGGAACAGUCAAAAGCAAUGGAACUGGAAACGUGGUCCUGCUUUUCUUGAAAUUACGGAGUAUAAUUGGCUGAGAAGAGAUAUGGACGUUAUGGCUUUGGCUGAAGUUAACGAUAAGUGGGUUUGGAUCGAGACUAACUUAUAUGAAUUCUUAAUUUGUGCUGUCAAGAGAAUGCUUUCCAAAAGGAACGAUUAUUGCGGUAACUACAUCUUAGAAUGGUGCAAGUGGUUACCGUUGAAGUGUAUUGUUUUCGUGUGGAGAGCUGAAAUGGAAAAAAAUGCGACAGGAGCGGCUUUUAUAGACUGAAAUAUUAAUGUGUAAGUCUCAAACUGGCCAUUUUGUCAUUACAGCGAUGAAACAGUGAGUCACUUGUUUUGCUCAUGUAUGAUUGCUUCGACAAUUUGGCUGCACAUUAGUAGAUGGUGUAAAAUAGCUCUCUUUGUCGUAAGCUCGGUUAGAGAUAGCCCUAAACUCUCUUUGUCGUAAGCUCGGUCGAGCAAAGGCCCCGGCUCUGUCGUGGGUGGUUAUUUCUACCGUGGCGCUGCGGAUCCAUGCUUGAUUUGGCUGGUUAGUAUACAUUUGCAUGUCAAAAUGGGUCUGAUUGUGUUGUGCUGAUGCGAGCAAAGGCCCCGCCUCUAGGGUUUAGUGUUAAAAACGUCGGGUCUGGUGGAUAGAACGAACGGCCGAACAAAACGCGAUUCGGGUCGAAACCUACUAAAUCGCAUGAUGGCAGCGGCGAGUUCUAGGGUUUCGGCGGCUACAUGCCGUUAGGUUCAAGUGGAGGCGGUGCAAAGUAUGCAAGAAUUGCUGUUUAUACGGCUCUCUAUGGGAUGUUUGGAGGAUUUGUUGCUGAUGUCAUUGCUGCCAUCGGUCAGGUUUGCA